UAGUUCAAGCUAAUAAGAGCAUAGGGUGGAUGCCUUGGCACUAGGAGCCGAUGAAGGUCGCGAUAAGCUGCGAAAAGCUUUGGGUAGGCGCAAAUAGCCGAUGAUCCAGAGAUUACCGAAUGGGGAAACCUGGCUGGGAAGAUCCCAGUCACUGCAUGGUGAAUACAUAGCCAUGCAGGGGGAACUCGGGGAACUGAAACAUCUAAGUACCCGAAGGAAGAGAAAGAAACAUCGAUUACCUAAGUAGCGGCGAGCGAAAGGGUAAGAGGCCAAACCAAAGGACCUAGUCCUUUGGGGUUGAGGACUGCAUACGGUAUUAAGAAGAUUUAACCGAAGUGUUUUGGAAAAGCACGUCAAAGAGGGUGAAAACCCCGUAGGUGAAAAGUUGACUUAGCCAGCAGUAUCCAGAGUAGCACGAGACACGUGGAACCUUGUGUGAAGCAGGGGGGACCACCCCCCAAGCCUAAAUACUACCUAGUGACCGAUAGCGCAUAGUACUGUGAAGGAAAGGUGAAAAGAACCCCGGGAGGGGAGUGAAAAAGAACCUGAAACCCUAUGUUUACAAGCAGUGGAAGCACGUUAAGGUGCGACCGCGUACUUUUUGUAGAACGGUCCAGCGAGUUACUUAUACUGGCGAGGUUAAUGACUUAAGGUCAGGAGCCGAAGGGAAGCCAAGUCUUAAUAGGGCGUUAAGUCAGUGUGAGUAGACCCGAAACCGGGUGACCUAUCCAUGGGCAGGUUGAAGUUACCGUAAAAGGUAAUGGAGGACCGAACCCACGCAUGUUGAAAAAUGCGGGGAUGACCUGUGGAUAGCGGAGAAAUUCCAAUCGAACCCGGAGAUAGCUGGUUCUCCUCGAAAUAGCUUUAGGGCUAGCCUUGAAAUAGUCUAAUGGAGGUAGAGCACUGAAUUGCCUAGGGGGCCUCACAGCCUACCGAAGCAUAUCAAACUCCGAAUGCCAUAUAGAUGUUUUUCAGGAGUCAGACUAUGGGAGAUAAGUUUCAUAGUCAAAAGGGAAAGAGCCCAGACCACCAGCUAAGGUCCCAAAGUGUGCAUUAAGUGGAAAAGGAUGUGAGAUUUCACAGACAACUAGGAUGUUGGCUUAGAAGCAGCCAUGCAUUCAAAGAGUGCGUAAUAGCUCACUAGUCGAGAGAUCUUGCGCCGAAAAUGUCCGGGGCUAAAAUGCACCACCGAAGCUGUGGAAAGCACUUAUUUAGAUAAGUGUUUUGGUAGAGGAGCAUUCUUAACACGACGAAGCUGUACCGUAAGGAGCAGUGGAGAGUUAAGAAGAGAGAAUGCUGGAAUGAGUAGCGAGAGAGAAGUGAGAAUCUUCUCGGCCGAAUAUCUAAGGUUUCCAAAGUAAAGCUGAUCUUCUUUGGGUAAGUCGGGACCUAAGGUGAGGGCGAAAGCCGUAGCCGAUGGACAACUAGUUGAAAUUCUAGUACUACGUAUGAACAGAACUGUGGGGACACAGAAGGAUAGGGAAAUCUGGGAAUGGAAAAACCAGUGCAAGCACAAAGCUUGGUUGAUAGGCAAAUCCGUCAACUAAAAGGCGAAGUGUGAUGCGGAUCGAAAUUAAAGUAGAGAAGUUCCUAAAUCCAUACUGUCAAGAAAAGCCGCUAUUGCUUCAUACGUACCCGUACCGCAAACCGACACAGGUAGAUGAGGAGAGAAUCCUAAGGCCGACGGGAGAAGCGUUGUUAAGGAACUCGGCAAAAUGACCCCGUAACUUCGGGAGAAGGGGUGCCUACGCAAGUAGGCCGCAGAGAAUAGGCCCAAGCGACUGUUUAGCAAAAACACAGGUUUAUGCAAAACCGAAAGGUGAAGUAUAUGAGCUGACGCCUGCCCGGUGCUGGAAGGUUAAGGGGAGUGCUUAGACUUUAGUCGAAGGUGCGAACUUAAGCCCCAGUAAACGGCGGCCGUAACUAUAACGGUCCUAAGGUAGCGAAAUUCCUUGUCGGGUAAGUUCCGACCCGCACGAAAGGCGUAACGAUAGUACCGGUGAAGAUGCCGGUUACCCGCGACAGGACGGAAAGACCCCGUGGAGCUUUACUCUAGCUUGAUACUGGGAUUCGAUAUUACAUGUACAGGAUAGAAGGGAGACUUUGAGCUAUGGACGCCAGUCUGUAGUGAGUCGUUGUUGGGAUACCUUCCUUGUAGUAUUGGGUUUCUAACCUAGCACCGUGAUCCGGUGUGGGGACAAUGUCAGGUGGGGAGUUUGACUGGGGCGGUCGCCUCCGAAAGUGUAUCGGAGGCGCUCAAAGUUCAUCUCAGAAUGGUUGGAAACCAUUCGCAGAGUGCAAAGGCAUAAGAUGGAUUGACUGUGACACCGACGGGUGGAGCAGGUAGGAAACUAGGACUUAGUGAUCCGGUGGUAUGAAUGUGGGAUUGCCAUCGCUCAACGGAUAAAAGCUACCCCGGGGAUAACAGGCUUAUCACUCCCAAGAGUUCACAUCGACGGAGUGGUUUGGCACCUCGAUGUCGGC
rnacentral:rRNA from 1 species